rnacentral:misc_RNA from 1 species
GAUGAAGAACACAGCGAAAUGCGAUAAGUAAUGCGAAUUGCAGAAUUUCCGUGAGUCAUCGAAUCUUUGAACGCACAUUGCGCCCCCUGGUAUUCCGGGGGGCAUGCCUGUCCGAGCGUCAUUGCUGCCCUCAAGCACGGCUUGUGUGUUGGGCCCCGUCCUCCGAUCCCGGGGGACGGGCCCGAAAGGCAGCGGCGGCACCGCGUCCGGUCCUCGAGCGUAUGGGGCUUUGUCACCCGCUCUGUAGGCCCGGCCGGCGCUUGCCGAUCAACCCAAAUUUUUUAUCCAGGUUGACCUCGGAUCAGGUAGGGAUACCCGCUGAACUUAAGCAUAUCAAUAAGCGGAGGA